GGCUUGCAUUUAAGAAACUUAUAGAUUAAAAUGAUGUGGUUUAGUGUAAAGUAUCAUAAGGAACUGUGUAGUUUUGGUGUCAGUAGUAUCAUUGCCCUCUUUUGUUUCAGAAAAUAACAUCCACGUUCACGACCUGCUCACGUUCCAGCAGAUAACUGUGGUGUCCAAAGCCAGAGGGGCCACUCUGUUUGCCUGUGACCUGCAGCAGUCCAGCUCAGGCGAGGCCAAACUGCGCAUGUGUGUUGCAGUCAAGAGGAAAAUUCAGCUGUAUUACUGGAAGGACAGAGAUUUCCAUGAAUUACAGGGGGAUGUCGCCGCUCCAGACAUUCCCAAGUCCAUGGCUUGGUGUGAGAACUCCAUAUGUGUGGGUUUCAA